UCAAGCGAUUCUCCUGCCUCACCCUCCUGAGUAGCUGGGACUACAGGCCUGCGCCACCACACCUGGCUAACUUCUGAAUAUCAAGCUGAAAUUACUAUCAGAUAUCUUGCCACCACAUAGAGGCUUUGAGUGAAGUCUGCAUGGAGGAGAACAGAGCUGAGAGAUGGAAAGAUACUGAAUCCCAGUGACGUCCUUUGAGAUGUCGGAUCAAGCUGAGCUGGGCAUGAAGAUAGAGCUACUCCUAUACUUUUAAGAUACCAAUAACAAGCAAGAUUCAGAAGUCCAACAAGUAAGACAUUGAUUUCAUUAAGAGAGAACUAGUAAGCAAGCUAUUUGGGAAGUACACUCUCAUAAGAAUAUUGUUUCAUGAAGUCUUGAGCAACAAAGGAAAUAGUCCAUGAAGUGCACUGCUGUCAGACUCCCUCUAAGAAUACUUCAACUGCUCAUGAAGCGGGGGGCCUUAACUAUUUACUUCUUUUGGAAGCCUCCAUCUGGCCCAUCUAUCUUUAUUCUCCCAGGAUCACAGGCAGAACACCUGAGCCACAGUAUCAGAACUAGGGUUGGAAGCCUGCUUUUCCUGGAAUGAAACCCCUCACUCUUCAAGUGUCCAGGAGACAAGAGUCAUUGUGCAAGCCUAUCUCUAGAGAGGCUAACAGACUCUUUCUGGCUUUGAAAGAAACAAGCUGCCAUAUUGAAACAAGCUGCCAUAUUAUGUGUGAGCUGCCCUAAGGAAAGACACACAUGGUAAGGAAGAGAGGAUGACCUCUGGCUGAUAGGCAGCAAGAAACUAAGGACCUCAGUCUGAGAACCUGCAAGGAGCUGAAUUCUUCCAAUUACCAUGUGAGCUUGGAAGCAGCUCCUUCCCCAGUCAAGCCUCAGAUGAGACCCCAGCCCUGGCCAACACCUUGAUUGCAGCCUCUUAUGAAGAUUGUAGUCCCUAAGCAGAAAAUCCAGAUAACCUGUGCCCAGAUUGCUGAGCCACAGAAAUUCACUGAGAUAAUAAACGUGUGU
rnacentral:lncRNA from 1 species